AGAGUAUGAUCCUGGCUCAGGAUGAACGCUAGCGACAGGCUUAACACAUGCAAGUCGAGGGGCAUCAUGAGGUAGCAAUACCUUGAUGGCGACCGGCGCACGGGUGAGUAACGCGUAUGCAACCUGCCCGAUACCGGGGUAUAGCCCAUGGAAACGUGGAUUAACACCCCAUAGUACUUUUAUCCUGCAUGGGAUGUGAGUUAAAUGUUCAAGGUAUCGGAUGGGCAUGCGUCCUAUUAGUUAGUUGGCGGGGUAACAGCCCACCAAGACGAUGAUAGGUAGGGGUUCUGAGAGGAAGGUCCCCCACAUUGGAACUGAGACACGGUCCAAACUCCUACGGGAGGCAGCAGUGAGGAAUAUUGGUCAAUGGACGAGAGUCUGAACCAGCCAAGUCGCGUGAGGGAAGACUGCCCUAUGGGUUGUAAACCUCUUUUAUAAGGGAAGAAUAAGUUCUACGUGUAGAAUGAUGCCUGUACCUUAUGAAUAAGCAUCGGCUAACUCCGUGCCAGCAGCCGCGGUAAUACGGAGGAUGCGAGCGUUAUCCGGAUUUAUUGGGUUUAAAGGGUGCGUAGGCGGUUUAUUAAGUUAGUGGUUAAAUAUUUGAGCUAAACUCAAUUGUGCCAUUNAUACUGGUAAACUGGAGUACAGACGAGGUAGGCGGAAUAAGUUAAGUAGCGGUGAAAUGCCUAGAUNUNACUUAGAACUCCGAUAGCGAAGGCAGCUUACCAGACUGUAACUGACGCUGAUGCACGAGAGCGUGGGUGGCGAACAGGAUUCGAUACUCUGGGUAGUCCACGCCGUAAACGAAUGCUCACUGGUUCUGUGCGAAUUAUUGUCGGGGAUUAGGCAAGUUUUUAGUGAACCACCUUGGAAUUCGUCGGGGCGAUUAAACUCCACGAAUGUCCG
rnacentral:rRNA from 1 species